rnacentral:tRNA from 2 species
GCGCCCUUAGCUCAGCUGGAUAGAGUAGCUGACUUCGAAUCAGUUGGUCGCAGGUUCGAAUCCUGCAGGGCGUGCCA